rnacentral:rRNA from 1 species
AGAGCGAACGCUGGCGGCAGGCCUAAUACAUGCAAGUCGAGCGGGUGUAGCAAUACACCAGCGGCAGACGGGAGAGUAACACGUGGGAACGUGCCCUUCAGUUCGGAACAACCCAGGGAAACUUGGGCUAAUACCGGAUACGUCCGUAAGGAGAAAGAUUUAUCGCAGCAGGAGGGGCCCGCGUCGGAUUAGGUAGUUGGUAGGGUAACGGCCUACCAAGCCUUUGAUCCGUAGCUGGUCUGAGAGGAUGAUCAGCCACACUGGGACUGAGACACGGCCCAGACUCCUACGGGAGGCAGCAGUGGGGAAUAUUGGACAAUGGGCGCAAGCCUGAUCCAGCAAUGCCGCGUGAGUGAUGGAGGCCUUAGGGUUGUAAAGCUCUUUCGCCCGCGACGAUGAUGACGGUAGCGGGAGAAGGAACGCCCCGGCUAACUUCGUGCCAGCAGCCGC